UGCCUGCCUCACUCCCAUCAUUGCACUGGCUCGCGUCCUCAUUAAAGUCUGUGCUCGCGUGCACCGCGCAAGCCAAUGGAGACGCUGCAGGUUAAUAGAUGCUGAUCAGGAAACACAGCCUAGUUCACCACCAGCUAAGAGGCCACGCAGGCAUUGCAGGAGUACACCAGUCUCACAAGCAGAUCAGCUGGCUCUGUCAUGAUAAACAGAGAAAGCUGCUGAUGCUGCCAAGGCACCCAAAAUGGCACACAAAACUUUGAAAUAACCUGGAGGUGUGUGUGUGGAUGGCAUCUUCCAUGUAUAGUUUGUGUGGUGUCAAUAAAUGUUCCAAAAUCAAAA